GACGAACGCUGGCGGCGUGCUUAACACAUGCAAGUCGAACGGAAAGGCCCUGCUUUUGUGGGGUGCUCGAGUGGCGAACGGGUGAGCAACACGUGAGUAACCUGCCCUUGACUUUGGGAUAACUUCAGGAAACUGGGGCUAAUACCGGAUAGGAGCUCCUGCUGCAUGGUGGGGGUUGGAAAGUUUCGGCGGUUGGGGAUGGACUCGCGGCUUAUCAGCUUGUUGGUGGGGUAGUGGCUUACCAAGGCUUUGACGGGUAGCCGGCCUGAGAGGGUGACCGGCCACAUUGGGACUGAGAUACGGCCCAGACUCCUACGGGAGGCAGAAGUGGGGAAUAUUGCACAAUGGGCGGAAGCCUGAUGCAGCAACGCCGCGUGCGGGAUGACGGCCUUCGGGUUGUAAACCGCUUUCGCCUGUGACGAAGCGUGAGUGACGGUAAUGGGUAAAGAAGCACCGGCUAACUACGUG
rnacentral:rRNA from 1 species